rnacentral:rRNA from 1 species
AUUGAACGCUAGCGGCAGGCCUAACACAUGCAAGUCGAACGAGCGGCGGGCGGGUGAGGAAUGUGUGGGGGCUACUCGAUGGAGGGAGCUAACCACUGGAAACGCUAGCUACUACCGCAUACUAUCGGAUGACCCAUAUGGGAUUAGCUAGUAGGUGAGGUAAUGGCUCACCUAGGCGACGAUCCCUAGCUGGUCUGAGAGGAUGAUCAGCCACACUGGGACUGAGACACGGCCCAGACUCCUACGGAGGCAGCAGUGGGGAAUAUUGCACAAUGGGCGCAAGCCUGAUGCAGCCAUGCCGCGUGUAUGAAGAAGGCCUUAGGGUUGUAAAGUACUUUCAGUCGGGAGGCGGUACCGACAGAAGAAGCACCGGCUAACUCCGUGCCAGCAGCCGCGGUAAUUC